AAUNANAAAUAUUAGAGAGAGUUCAAGAGUACGAUGAAACUGCUCAGAGGUAAACGGGUGGGCCCUCGAAAUCCUGAUGGCGGGAGGAUUCAGUCGGAAGGCGGGAGCGUGUCAAGCAACUCACAUUGGUUCAGUCACCGGACCGUUUUGCUCGAAAGCUCUCUCGUCGGUACGACGCAUUUGUUUCCCGUCCGAAGGACGCCGCAACCGGUUGGGAGACGGCCUGAAGGUCGGGAGCUGGCAGGUGGCCGGUGGUUUUCCCUUCGGGGUGCCGUCGGUGUCUAGCCUUCCCGGCAGUGGCUCGUAGCCCGACCGUGGUGUCGCGAGGCCCCUCACAUGGGCUUCACCGUCUCCUCCGCAAGGAAGUCGGACAGGCUCGACAGCGGUUCUCCAUUCAACGUGCGCACAGACUCACCCUGUGGCCCGCCGUAGAGGAGUUCCGAAUGGUCGUGCAACCGAUCUGUUGGAGGCUGGCGGUUAGCGGCGAGUAGAUCGGUCACCCACCCGACCCGUCUUGAAACACGGACCAAGGAGUCUAACAUGUGUGCGAGUCAAUGGGUCUCGAAUAAGCCCAGAGGCGCAAUGAAAGCAAAGGCUGGAUCACUCCGGCUGAGUUGGGAUCCCUCCGCCUCCGAGCGGGGGGCGCACCAACGACCCGUCCUAUCCGAUUUAUCGGUUGGGCGGAGUCUGAGCAUACACGUUGGGACCCGAAAGAUGGUGAACUAUGCCCGGGCAGGACGAGGCCAGAGGAAACUCUGGUGGAGGUCCGUAGCGGUUCUGACGUGCAAAUCGAUCGUCAGAUCCGGGUAUAGGGCAAAAAAAA
rnacentral:rRNA from 1 species